rnacentral:rRNA from 1 species
UGCGGAGGAUCCGAGCGUUAUCCGGAUUUAUUGGGUUUAAAGGGUGCGUAGGCGGUUUGAUAAGUUAGAGGUGAAAUGUCGGGGCUCAACCCCGAAACUGCCUCUAAUACUGUUGGACUAGAGAAUAGUUGCGGUAGGCGGAAUGUAUGGUGUAGCGGUGAAAUGCUUAGAGAUCAUACAGAACACCGAUUGCGAAGGCAGCUUACCAAACUAUAUCUGACGUUGAGGCACGAAAGCGUGGGUAGCAAACAGG